GACAGUGUGGCAUAGUGGUUUGAGCGUUGGACUGUGACUCUGGAGACCAGGGUUGGAUUCCCAGCUCAGCCA
rnacentral:tRNA from 1 species